rnacentral:rRNA from 1 species
GACGAACGCUGGCGGCGUGCCUAAUACAUGCACGUAGGACGCAGUUGCGAACGGGUGAGUAACGCGUAGGUAACUACCUAUUAGAGGGGGAUAACUAUUGGAAACGAUAGCUAAUACCGCCUACUAGUAGAUGGACCUGCGUUGUAUUAGCUAGUAGGUAGGGUAAUGGCCUACCUAGGCAACGAUACAUAACCGACCUGAGAGGGGGAGCAGGCAAAAUGGGACUGAGACACGGCCCAGACUCCGAAGGGAAGCAGCAGUAGGGAAGCUGAGGCAAUGGGGGGAAACCUGACCGAGCAACGCCGGGUGAGAGAAGAAGGUUGUCGGAUCGUAAAGCUCUGUUGUUAAGGAAGCGGUACUUAACCAGAAAGGGACGGAUAACAACGUGCCAGCAGCCGCGGUAAUAC